GACGAAUGCCAAUCAUGCUGUGCAGCACACAAUUUCAUCUCCUCGUUCAGGAAUCUAUCAAUGUAUCGCUAGAAAUGAGUAUGGCAGCAAACAAUCAUCACUCUACGUAACAGUAUCAGGUGUUGUUCCGACUGUUUCUGCUACAAGUCGUUCACCAACAACGGCAGCUACAUCUCCAUCGAUGCCACAAUCUACUGCAUCUGACUACGUGACUACUACAUCUCUACCUCACACAUUAGUGACAAAGUCAUCAAAUCAUUAUUCUAGUUCAUCAACGUCACAGCAUCUGCCCACAAAUUCUAUCGACAUUUCGUCAAAUAGGAGGAUCUCUAUUAUCUCUACCGGAUCUACUCUUACUUCAUCUCGUACUGCAACUUUACAUCCAGACAGAACAGAGUCGUCAACAAGCAAGCAAGCAAAGACAGAAACUUCAUUUACACCGACGGCAUCCUACCUGUCUCGUCCAGUGUUUCCUUCAACAGCAAGAGCGCAAACUGACUUCCAGUCAUCACGCAAUUGAUCAACCUUAGUUACGUUGAAAAGCAGGUGGUGGACAAGAAAGUGGAAGAAAGUCUUCAGAUCUGACGGAUGUUGCAGUAUCAGGAUGGGUUGUAUCCGUCUUGUUAUUUGGAGUUAUACUUAUUAUGAUAUGGAUAAAUAAAAACAUCGAGAAUCUAGUCGGAAAAAAGCGAAAAAACAACAAUGAGAGAAAAUCCUGCUUACAAUUUUAUAUCAUCACACGCUCGAGGAGGAACGGCUCCAUCAUCGACUGAUGUUGUACAGUACGAGAGGUAGGAAUGGAUGCAACUAAACGUCAACGUUCUUACGAGAACAUUUCUAAGACCUGACGACGCAGAAACAGACAGAUGUAGAACAUCUAGCAGACGAAUGUAGCUCAUCAAUCCUAUCAGCACGCAUGGUUCUAGCUAAUCAACACUACACUACUAGAUAGUACUGUUCUUCAA